rnacentral:rRNA from 1 species
GACGAACGCUGGCGGCGUGCUUAACACAUGCAAGUCGAACGGAAAGGCCUCUUUCGGGGGGUACUCGAGUGGCGAACGGGUGAGUAACACGUGAGUAACCUGCCCUUGACUUUGGGAUAACUUCAGGAGACUGGGGCUAAUACCGGAUAGGAGCUCCUGCUGCAUGGUGGGGGUUGGAAAGUUUCGGCGGUUGGGGAUGGACUCGCGGCUUAUCAGCUUGUUGGUGGGGUAGUGGCUUACCAAGGCUUUGACGGGUAGCCGGCCUGAGAGGGUGACCGGCCACAUUGGGACUGAGAUACGGCCCAGACUCCUACGGGAGGCAGCAGUGGGGAAUAUUGCACAAUGGGUGGAAGCCUGAUGCAGCAACGCCGUGUGCGGGAUGACGGCCUUCGGGUUGUAAACCGCUUUCGCUCAUGACGAAGCUUUGUGUGACGGUAGUGGGUAAAGAAGCACCGGCUAACUACGUG